GAUUAGUGGCGAACGGGUGAGUAACACGUGGGUGAUCUGCCCUGUACUUUGGGAUAAGCCUGGGAAACUGGGUCUAAUACCGAAUAUGACCACAAGGCGCAUGUUUUGUGGUGGAAAGCUCCGGCGGUAUGGGAUGGGCCCGCGGCCUAUCAGCUUGUUGGUGGGGUAAUGGCCUACCAAGGCGACGACGGGUAGCCGGCCUGAGAGGGCGACCGGCCACACUGGGACUGAGACACGGCCCAGACUCCUACGGGAGGCAGCAGUGGGGAAUAUUGCACAAUGGGCGCAAGCCUGAUGCAGCGACGCCGCGUGAGGGAUGACGGCCUUCGGGUUGUAAACCUCUUUCACCAGGGACGAAGCGAAAGUGACGGUACCUGGAGAAGAAGCACCGGCCAACUACGUGCCAGCAGCCGCGGUAAUACGUAGGGUGCGAGCGUUGUCCGGAAUUACUGGGCGUAAAGAGCUCGUAGGCGGUUUGUCGCGUCGUUCGUGAAAACUUGGGGCUUAACUCUAAGCGUGCGGGCGAUACGGGCAGACUUGAGUACUACAGGGGAGACUGGAAUUCCUGGUGUAGCGGUGAAAUGCGCAGAUAUCAGGAGGAACACCGGUGGCGAAGGCGGGUCUCUGGGUAGUAACUGACGCUGAGGAGCGAAAGCGUGGGUAGCGAACAGGAUUAGAUACCCUGGUAGUCCACGCCGUA
rnacentral:rRNA from 1 species